CCCGCCCCUUUAAUCAGGAAGCCUCUAAACGCCCUGCCCCUUUAAUCAGGAAGCCUCUAAACGCCCUGCCCCUUUCAUCAGGAAGCCUCUAAACGCCCCGCCCCUUUAAUCAGGAAGCCUCUAAACGCUCCGCCCCUUUAAUAUAGAAUCCUCUAAACGCCCCGCCCCUUUAAUCAGGAAGCCUCUAAACGCCCUGCCCCUUUCAUCAGGAAGCCUCUAAACGCCCCGCCCCUUUAAUCAGGAAUCCUCUAAACACCCCACCCCUUUAAUCAGGAGGCCUCUAAAUGCCCCGCCCCUUUAAUAUAGAAUCCUCUAAACACCUUGCCCCUUUAAUCAGGGAGCCUCUAAACGCCCCGCCCCUUUAAUAUAGAAUCCUCUAAACGCCCCACCCCUUUAAUCAGGAAUCCUCUAAACACCCCGUCCCUUUAAUAUAGAAUCCUCUAAACACCCCGCCUCUUUAAUCAGGGAGCCUCUAAACGCUCCGCCCCUUUAAUAUAGAAUCCUCUAAACGCCCUGCAACUUUAAUCAGGAAGCCUCUAAACUCUCCACCCCUUUAAUCUGGAAGCCUCUAAAUACCCCGCCCCUUUCAUCAGGAAGCCUCUAAACGCCCCGCCCCUUUAAUCUGGAAACUUCUAAAUGUCCCACCGCCAUAAUCAGGACGCCAGGAAAUGUCAAAGAAAUGUAGCUUUAAAUAUUAGGCUGUUAUGCAGAGUCCAGUGUAUGUCGGUGUGUGCCUGUGUGUAGGUAAAUUAAGUAAAGUUGAAUUGUGGUAUAUGUAUGAAUGUAGGGAUGUGUGCAGGUAUGGUCAGAUGUGAACAGGUGUGUGAAGGUGAAUACAGGUGUGUUUCUGUGAGUGUAGCUGUGUGUAGGUGUGGUCAGGUGUACAGGGCUGUGCAGGUGAGUGUAGCUGUGUGUAGGUGUGGUCAGGUGUACAGGGCUGUGCAGGUGAGUGUAGCUGUGUGUAGGUGUGGUCAGGUGUACAGGGCCGUGCAGGUGAGUGUAGCUGUGUGUAGGUGUGGUCAGGUGUACAGGGCUGUGCAGGUGGGCAGGCUGAUCUGUGUGCAGGUGAGUGUAGCUGUGUGUAGGUGUGGUCAGGUGUACAGGGCUGUGCAGGUGGGCAGGCUGAUCUGUGUGCAGGUGAGUGUAGCUGUGUGUAGGUGUGGUCAGGUGUACAGAGCUGUGCAGGUGGGCAGGCUGAUCUGUGUGCAGGUGAGUGUAGCUGUGUGUAGGUGUGGUCAGGUGUACAGGGCUGUGCAGGUGGGCAGGCUGAUCUGUAUGCAGGUGAGUGUAGCUGUGUGUAGGUGUGGUCAGGUGUACAGGGCUGUGCAGGUGGGCAGGCUGAUCUGUAUGCAGGUGAGUGUAGCUGUGUGUAGGUGUGGUCAGGUGUACAGGGCUGUGCAGGUGAGUGUAGCUGUGGGUAGGUGUGGUCAGGUGUACAGGGCUGUGCAGGUGGGCAGGCUGAUCUGUGUGCAGGUGAGUGUAGCUGUGUGUAGGUGUGGUCAGGUGUACAGGGCUGUGCAGGUGGGCA